rnacentral:misc_RNA from 2 species
AAGUCGUAACAAGGUUUCCGUAGGUGAACCUGCGGAAGGAUCAUUAUCGAUUCAACCCAAAUGAGAGGGGAGUAGUUUGUAGUUGUGCUGGCUUCUAACAGAGCAAUGUGCACGCUCGACUUCUCCUUUUCUUCAUUUACACACCUGUGAACAUGUUGUAGGGUUUCCCUUCAGGGAUGCUCUAUGUCUUUUUCAUAUACACCAUUGCAUGUCUAUAGAAUGAAUCCUUUUGAUCUCGUCAGAGACAAAAAUAAAGCUUUUAUAACUUUCAGCAACGGAUCUCUUGGCUCUC